CAAUUAUCAAUUCAUUCAUCUCAGUCAACACAAAGUCAUGAUUGCAAUCACGGUUGAUGUUGUUUUCUCUAACAGAUUUAUUAUUUGUUUGGGACCGUAGCAUCAACAACGGAAGGAUUUUUGAAUAAUGAACAGAGGAACGUUUUGAACUAUGAAACUAGAGCUGAAAAGUAGGAUCUUUAGGUUUGGAUUUGAGAACUCAAGAAGGCUUCAAGAAUUAUUCAAAUAGCAUUCAUGCUGAUCCAAAUCAUGAUACUGGAAGUAUUAAGAGAUGGAUUGUGAUGUGCUUGAACUACAAGAGACAGUUGGCCGUCUCCCAUCUCUGUAGGCUCUCAUUCAUACUUGAUAUUUUAAUGCUGAUGUGUUUGAACUACGUAUAUAGUAUGAAGUUGUAAAUACAUAAAGGACAUGGUUUACCCGUUUAUUCAUGUAAGAUGACUUUUGAUAAAUGCUAA